AUUGAACGCUGGCGGCAUGCCUAACACAUGCAAGUCGAACGGCAGCAUGCUCUGUAGCAAUACAGAGUGAUGGCGAGUGGCGGACGGGUGAGUAACGCGUAGGAAUCUGCCCUAAAGUGGGGGAUAACUCAGCGAAAGCUGAGCUAAUACCGCAUAAUCUCUUCGGAGUAAAGCAGGGGAUCUUUUGACCUUGUGCUUUAGGAUGAGCCUGCGUAAGACUAGCUAGUUGGUAGGGUAAAAGCCUACCAAGGCUACGAUCUUUAGCUGGUCUGAGAGGACGACCGGCCACAUUGGGACUGAGACACGGCCCAAACGCCUACGGGAGGCAGCAGUGGGGAAUAUUGGACAAUGGGGGAAACCCUGAUCCAGCGAUGCCGCGUGUGUGAAGAAGGCCUGCGGGUUGUAAAGCACUUUCGGUGGGGAGGAAAAACUCAAGGCUAAUAUCCUUGAGAAUUGACGUUACCCGCAUAAGAAGCACCGGCUAACUCUGUGCCAGCAGCCGCGGUAA
rnacentral:rRNA from 1 species